rnacentral:rRNA from 1 species
UACGGAGGGUGCGAGCGUUAAUCGGAAUUACUGGGCGUAAAGGGUGCGUAGGUGGAUAUUUAAGUUAGUUGUGAAAUUCCUGGGCUCAACCUGGGGUGGUCAACUAAGACUGGAUAUCUUGAGUAUAGGAGAGGGUAGUGGAAUUUCCGGUGUAGCGGUGAAAUGCGUAGAGAUCGGAAGGAACACCAGUGGCGAAGGCAGCCCCCUGGGCUGACACUGACGCUGAGGCACGAAAGCGUGGGGAGCAAACAGG